GGUUCUCGUAGCGCACGGGGCUGGCGCGGAAGGGAGCCAAUGGGCCGUCUUAGACACCUGCCCCUGCUCCCGCCCAACGCCCUAAGACACCAGCCCUGCUUUAAGGCAUUGUUUGGAGACAAUGCAUGAACAUUCCUAGAGCAGUGUCUGGUACAUGGUCUGUAAUCCAAGAUGUCUAUAAAGAACUGGGAUAUCAAUAGGAAAUCAUCUUCAUCCAGACUUAUUCCUGAGUGGAAGAACUUGAAGUUCCUCAUAAAUAAGAUCCUGAAGAACAUAAAGACUGAUGAAGAACCAAAGAAUGAUGUGGUUCUACUGAGUGACUGGCCUGAGACUCUAUACCGGGAGUCUCACCAUCGCCAGAACAAGCCUUUUGUCUGCUUCUACUACUCCAUCAAGGUCAACUGUUUUGUCUCCUUAAACUGGAUGGAACCUGGUGGAAAAAUGCAGGCAAGAAAUUAUUGGAGAAAUCACUCUGGGACAACUGCUGAAUAUUCAAGCUGAAGAUAUACAGUCCCUGCUUAUUCAUGUGGAGCAGCAGCUAAAUGAAAACUUGACCUUGUUACAAAGAGAAAAGUCAUUUACUUUUUCUUUUGAUAUACCAUGGUCUGAAGAACUUAAAGUCUUUUCUAAAGACAUGCUCGUACCUUUGUCAGAACCUGUAAAGAUCACCAAACCAAAGAAAAGAAAGAGACAUUUUCAAGAAAGAAGCAGAAAGCUUAUUAAAAAGGACCUGAGAGUUGCCAGGAAGCACAGAAAGACAAAGUUGGGAAAGUCUAGUUCCAUGUUGAUGCCUUCAGAAGAUGCAGGUGAACAAAGAGAGGCCAGGAAAUCAGAGCAAGUUGAAACCCAACAUGUUACCUUAGAGCCAGAGCUACCACUGAGUUCUUUAAGCACAGUCAAAUCCCAGGAUUAUGCUGAAACAGAGAAGGAGGUCAUUUUACAAGUUAUAGAGGCCAUGGAGGCCACAGAAGCCCUGGAGGCCACAGACACCAUGGAAGCCAUAGAUCAAGGUAGCAUGAAAGAUUAUGGAGACGUGAUCUCUAAGCUGGAAAGAAAAGAACACAUUAAAAGGCUUUGGAAAAAGGCAAUGAGAAAAACCCACAGAAUAGCAGAUGUGCAGUGGAAAGAGAAACAAGAUUUGAAGGAUAUUUCAGAGGUGACUACAGAAGAACCUAAGGAAGAUGUCAUAAAAAUUGGUGAGCAAGAAGAAGGUAAAUGGAAGAAAAGUGAAAAGAAGACCCGGGGUUUGGCUGGGACCCCUGGACAUGCAGGUAGACCAGACACCAGAUCUUGGAGGGAUGACAUUUGCUCUCUUGUCACUUCAAGGAUAGCAAGUUCCCAUCCAGGAAUGUUAAGG